rnacentral:rRNA from 1 species
GAGGAAUAUUGGUCAAUGGGCGAGAGCCUGAACCAGCCAAGUAGCGUGCGGGAGGAAGGCCCUAUGGGUUGUAAACCGCUUUUGCAGGGGGGUAAAAAGAGGUACGUGUACUUCAUUGCAAGUACCCUGCGAAUAAGGACCGGCUAAUUCCGUGCCAGCAGCCGCGGUAAUACGGAAGGUCCAGGUGUUAUCCGGAUUUAUUGGGUUUAAAGGGAGCGUAGGCGGGAGUUAAAGUCAGUUGUGAAAAGCCUGGGCCCAACUCAGGUCGUGCAAUUGAUACUAAAUUUCUUGAGUGCGCACGAGGAAGGUGGAAUUUGUGGUGUAGCGGUGAAAUGCAUAGAUAUCACGAAGAACUCCGAUUGCGAAGGCAGCCUUCCGGAGCGUUACUGACGCUGAGGCUCGAAGGUGCGGGUAUCAAAC